rnacentral:lncRNA from 1 species
GGAGUCCGGAUGAAAUCUGGUAGUUGUAGGAAUCUACCGUUGGAGAAGUUCAGCCAUUGACGAAGUCUGGGCUAGUUCGGAUUGGAGUUGAACCUGGCUGGAAGAAGUCUGGAAGGGAUUCGGGGAACAGCUGAUAGUCGUAGAAAGUCGACUGGCGGUGGAGCUCAGUGAGCACUUGGGGCGGCUUAAUAGAUGAUUGGGGGAACUCAUGUUGAAGGAGCUCGGGUGGUGCAGUGGGAGUUUGUCC